GCCAGACUCCUACGGGAGGCAGCAGUGGGGAAUAUUGCACAAUGGGGGAAACCCUGAUGCAGCAACGCCGCGUGAGUGAAGAAGUCAUUCGUGAUGUAAAGCUCUAUCAGCAGGGAAGAAAAUGACGGUACCUGAGUAAGAAGCCCCGGCUAACUACGUGCCAGCAGCCGCGGUAAUACGUAGGGGGCAAGCGUUAUCCGGAUUUACUGGGUGUAAAGGGAGCGUAGACGGCCAGACAAGUCUGAAGUGAAAAUCCAGCGCUUAACGUUGGAAGUGCUUUGGAAACUGUGCGGCUUGAGUGUCGGAGAGGCAAGUGGAAUUCCUAGUGUAGCGGUGAAAUGCGUAGAUAUUAGGAGGAACACCAGUGGCGAAGGCGGCUUGCUGGACGAUGACUGACGUUGAGGCUCGAAAGCGUGGGGAGCAAACAGGAUUAGAUACCCUAGUA
rnacentral:rRNA from 1 species